rnacentral:rRNA from 1 species
GACGAACGCUGGCGGCGUGCCUAACACAUGCAAGUCAGGGAGAAAAGGGUAGCAAUAUCCUGAGUAAACCGGCGAACGGGUGAGUAACACGUAGGCAACUUACCUUGAGAACGGGAAUAACCCCGGGAAACCGGGGCUAAUACCCGAUGUUAUUCCGUUGUAGCAUUGCAAUGGAAUAAAAAGCCCGCAAGGGCGUCACAAGAUUGGCCUGCGUCCCAUUAGAUAGUUGGCGGGGUAACAGCCCACCAAGUCGACGAUGGGUAGCUGGUCUGAGAGGACGAUCAGCCACACUGGAACUGAGACACGGUCCAGACUUCUACGGAAGGCAGCAGUGAGGAAUAUUGCUCAAUGGGCGAAAGCCUGAAGCAGCGACGCCGCGUGAAGGAUGAAAUCCGUUAGGAUGUAAACUUCUUUGCGGGGAAGAUGUGCGCCUUGGGCGCAUUGACGGUACCCCGUGAAUAAGCACCGGCCAACUACGUGCCAGCCGCCGCCGUAAG